CUUGAAUGCUAUUGAAGUUUUAUCAGUUUCUGUCUGACAAGAAAUAGCUUGGAUUGGCUGUGAAUGGAAUGAGCCAAUAACCUAGAUAAACAUCAGAUAAUACGUUCUUCAAACCCAAGAGAAAUUUCAAGCAGAAGACUAUGAAUGUUGCAGACCUUCUUUUCCCUUCUUUUGUCACAGCUGAUAGGGGCUGUGUAUUCUCAGUCCAUGAGAAGAGCUAAAGAGAAGCAAAUUUUCACUUCAAUGCUUGAGAAUACAUUUUACACAUUAUUUAUAACAUUGGUGGGAUUUAAACUAUUUUGAAUUUCUGUAUUUAUUUACUUUUUUUUCUCAUAAUGUUAGAUCCUUAUCAAAAGUUUUCUUGUUAAGUGAACUUUGGUAUAGAAUUAAUGUUUUCUAUCCAGACUUCCCUAGAAAAUAUAGCAGUUGUGUCACUAUGGAUUAAUGUUAUAUAACCAUGAUAUACCUACUCAUUUGUUGAUGACCAAUUUUAAAAAGAUUCUAUAAUGUGGAAUCCAUUAUGGAGAAUGGGUAUAAGAAUAUGUUUCUUACCUUUUUCACAAAUGAAUUGAGAACAUCCAUUUUGGUUGAAUGCAAUUAAUUAUUUUUACUAACAGUUAAAAUAUAUGGCAUAAAAAUAUAAUACUUAAAUAAAAGCAGGUGUAUAUUUCCA
rnacentral:lncRNA from 1 species